GAUGAACGCUAGCGGCAGGCUUAACACAUGCAAGUCGAGGGGCAGCGCGGGAUAGCAAUAUCCUGGCGGCGACCGGCGGAAGGGUGCGUAACGCGUGAGCGACAUGCCCGUUGCCCGGGGACAACCGGUGGAAACGCCGACUAAUCCCCGAUGGGAUAUUGUGCCGCAUGGCACGAUAUUGAAAGUUACGGCGGCGACGGAUUGGCUCGCGUCCGAUUAGCUGGUUGGCGGGGUGACGGCCCACCAAGGCUGCGAUCGGUAGGGGUUCUGAGAGGAAGGCCCCCCACAAUGGGACUGAGACACGGCCCAUACUCCUACGGGAGGAAGCAGUGAGGAAUAUUGGUCAAUGGGCGGAAGCCUGAACCAGCCAUGCCGCGUGCGGGAAGGAGGCCCUAUGGGCUGUGAACCGCUUUUGCCUGGGGGCAAUAAGGGCGUCGCGCACGUCCGAUGAGAGUACCAGGCGAAUAAGCAUCGGCUAACUCCGUG
rnacentral:rRNA from 1 species